rnacentral:rRNA from 1 species
UACGUAGGGUGCAAGCGUUGUCCGGAAUCAUUGGGCGUAAAGCGCGCGUAGGUGGCCAUUUAAGUCCGCUGUGAAAGUCAAAGGCUCAACCUUUGAAAGCCGGUGGAUACUGGAUGGCUAGAGUACGGAAGAGGCGAGUGGAAUUCCUGGUGUAGCGGUGGAAUGCGCAGAUAUCAGGAGGAACACCGGUGGCGAAGGCGGGUCUCUGGGCCGUAACUGACGCUGAGGAGCGAAAGCAUGGGGAGCGAACAGG